rnacentral:rRNA from 1 species
CCUACGGGUGGCAGCAGUCGAGAAUCAUUCACAAUGGGGGAAACCCUGAUGGUGCGACGCCGCGUGGGGGAAUGAAGGUCUUCGGAUUGUAAACUCCUGUCAUGUGGGAGCAAAUUAAAAAGAUAGUACCACAUGAGGAAGAGACGGCUAACUCUGUGCCAGCAGCCGCGGUAAUACAGAGGUCUCAAGCGUUGUUCGGAAUCACUGGGCGUAAAGCGUGCGUAGGCUGUUUCGUAAGUCGUGUGUGAAAGGUGCGGGCUCAACCCGCGAACGGCACAUGAUACUGCGAGACUAGAGUAAUGGAGGGGGAGCCGGAAUUCGCGGUGUAGCAGUGAAAUGCGUAGAUAUCGAGAGGAACACUCGUGGCGAAGGCGGGUUCCUGGACAUUAACUGACGCUGAGGCACGAAGGCCAGGGGAGCGAAAGGGAUUAGAUACCCCAGUAGUC